ACUGCCUUCAACGCUUCUCAGGAACUGGUUGCUCAACGUGAUCUGGCAGGUCCCAGGCGGCUGGGCAGGCCUGGUGCCAGCUCAGAGGUGGCGGGUGGAGGACACACCCCAGGGGGAGGCCCGGUGACCUUGAGGGAAGUUGGGCCCUGUCCUUGACCACUUAUCAGGGCCUGUCCCCCAUUCACCUGACCCAACUUGCUGGGGGGUGUGAGGUGGGGUGAUUUACUGAGUUCUAACCAGGCAAGAACCUGCCUGUCCUGCACCCUGGCCUGUCCUCUGGAGGUUAUCUGAUGAGGGCCUAUUCUAAGGCAGGGAGCCUAGGCCCCAGCUUCAGCGUCAAGCCACCCAGGACAUGCAUCCAGCCUGUUGGAGAAUGGCCUGGAGAAUGCAGAGAAGCUGCAGUGGGUGGGCACCUACACCUGUCUGGGACUGGGUUGAAGUCUGGCCACAUCUCAAGGGAAUGGCCAUGAGUGUUCCCAUCACGGGAUCCCAAGGGCAGCAUCGUCAGAGCAGUGGACUGGAAGCCUGGCUGAGGGUGCUGAAUGAGCAGGUCACUCUUUGGCCCUCACUGAGCACAGCGCCAAGCUUGCUACCCACCCACCCCAAUGUCACAGAGAAGCGAGAAGUACCUGUGGGCACACUGGAGCAUAGGCCUUGACGUCUGCAGUGCUCCGGGCAAAAGGACAAAUGGAGGCCCACACACCAGAAUCUAAAUAUUAAACAACCAUAAAUCAAGCUGCUAAUAAAAUGUGUUCCAUCCUCCUACUGAACAAAUAAGCUUUCAUAGCAGUAAAAACAUCUGUAAAUCUAUGGUUUUUAUGUCUGAAAGUCCGCAGAUAUCCAAAAUGAUGGAACUUAAUAAUUAUCACUCAUGUCCAGGUGUUCAGUGACCUGAGGUUUAAGUGAGAGAACGAAGACUUGCCUGAUGCCUAAGACAUUCUGUAUUUAUUCUGUAACAUUGAUUCUCCUCGUCUUUAUUCUAGUAAAACGAUUGAUUAUGUUGUUACAGUCAAGACUUCUACACUAUUACUGUUCUUUUCGUGGUAAUGAUUCAAAAGAUUAGAAUAAGGCUGGACAUGGUGGCUCACACAUGUAAUCCCAGCGCUUUGAGAAACCAAAGUGACAGGAUUGCUUGAGGCCAGCAGUUCAAGUUUAUAGUGAGCUAUGACUAUACUACUGCACUCCAGACCAGGCAACAGCACAAGACCCUGUCUCCAAAAAAAAAAAAAUUUUUUUAGAAAGACUAAAAUAAAAUAUUGGCCAGAUGUAGUGGCUCACACCUGUAAUCCCAGCACUUUGGGAUUCCAAGGCGGGUGGAUCACCUGAGGUCAGGAGUUCAAGACCAGCCUGGCCAA
rnacentral:lncRNA from 1 species